AUUUUGUUAACUACAAUAAAAUAAUCAAAACAUAAAUUUUGAAAUUAUUUUACGGAACAAAAUUUUGGCAAUGCUGAGAGUAUCUAUUCUGUGUCAAGGCCAAUCUUUGGACAUAUAGUCGGUAAAGAAGGAAUUAAAUAUAACACAACUAAAUCGGACUAUAAAUCACUGACUAAAUGAAAACAAUAAUUUUCAUUCAGGAAAACAAGGCUCGACCUUCAAUCAAUGAUCUAUAUGGAGUGGGGUAGCCGUUUCUCAGGCUCCCUCCACGAAAUAAGUUUUUCAUCCCGAUUACUUCUUUAUCACGGCCGAUAACUGCAUAGCUUUAGACUCACAGUCGAUAAGAAAGGAAUUAAAUAUAACACGAAUAUAUCGAAUCAUUAAUUCACUGACUGCAAUGAUAACAAUAAUUUU